rnacentral:tRNA from 1 species
GCCAGUGUGGCUCAGUGGAUAGAGCGUCGGGCUGUGGACCGAAAGGCCCCAGGUUCAAUUCCCGUCAAGGGCA